GAUAAUGUAAUGGAUGUAUAUAAUGAAGUAUAUCGGGGGAAAGUGGAUGUUCUUGUCACGUCUGUGGGUAUACCCUUAUUAAUCUGCUACCCUGGCAAUCCUUGGGACAUCUCUGAUGACCAGGCAGAAAGCCAGUGCCGUCGGAUGCAGGAAUUAGGGAUUUUACCUGAAACAACUCGAAAACGGCCUACAUGUGCAGGGAUAGAUGCUGACAGUACACCAGCCGCAGGUAAACCUCCGGUGAUCCGUUUUUUAUGGGGUAUGAAGUAAUAUGUUUGGUUUAUUCAACCCGUUAAAAACAAAAAAGGAUCAAUAUGUGCCCCCGUGUGGAUGAUAAUGGCGAGGAAAGUCAAGUUUUGGUCGGGGAUCCGAAAUCUCGACAAGAUUCAUCAGCAGCAACUAAUGGUAGCAUAAAGGAAGUUGAAGGAGGAUCUGUCGUAAACCAGGAUCUCGGUGGGUCAAGUGAAAUUGUAGUCAAUAAUUUAAACCCUGGAGCAGAUUUAAUUGUUGAUGCUUCUAGUGACAUUUAGAUCCACUCCUACAGUGGAUGGGGUUUCACCUUGAUUACUAUAGUCUUUAAUCAAGAUAAGUUUAAAGUACUGUAAUAUCAACCACACAAUUAGUCUAGUGAAACACUGAUUUCUUUGAGUAUUUUUUUGAAAAGUAAAAAAUACUGUUUUUUAGUUUUCUUGAAAA